CCCUUAGAUGUUCUGGGCCGCACGCGUGCUACACUGAGUGGAUCAGCGGGUCAGGUUGCGCGAAAGUGUUUCCUAAUCUUGAAAUCCGCUCGUGAUGGGGAUUGACGGUUGCAAUUUUCCGUCAUGAACGAGGAAUACCUUGUAAGCGCGGGUCAUCAUCCCGCGCUGAAUACGUCCCUGCCCUUUGUACACACCGCCCGUCGCUCCUACCGAUUGAGUGGUCCGGUGAGGCUUUGGGAUCUGAGCGGAAAGAGCGUUUCGCUGUUUCUGCUCGGAAAACUCAGUCGAACCUUAUCAUUUACAGGAAGGAGAAGUCGUAACA
rnacentral:rRNA from 1 species